rnacentral:rRNA from 1 species
GACGAACGCUGGCGGCGUGCUUAACACAUGCAAGUCGAACGGAAAGGCCCCUUUGGGGGUACUCGAGUGGCGCACGGGUGAGUAACACGUGAGUAACCUGCCCUUGACUUCGGGAUAACUUCAGGAAACUGGGGCUAAUACCGGAUAGGAAUCCUUGCUGCAUGGUGGGGGUUGGAAAGCUUCGGCGGUUUUGGAUGGACUCGCGGCUUAUCAGCUUGUUGGUGGGGUAGUGGCUUACCAAGGCUUUGACGGGUAGCCGGCCUGAGAGGGCGACCGGCCACAUUGGGACUGAGAUACGGCCCAGACUCCUACGGGGGGCAGCAGUGGGGAAUAUUGCACAAUGGGCGGAAGCCUGAUGCAGCAACGCCGCGUGCGGGAUGACGGCCUUCGGGUUGUAAACCGCUUUCAGCAGGGGCGAAGCUUUUGUGACGGUACCUGCAGAAGAAGCACCGGCUAACUACGUG